rnacentral:misc_RNA from 1 species
AACGCACAUUGCGCCCUUUGGUAUUCCGAAGGGCAUGCCUGUUCGAGCGUCAUUAUCACCCCUCAAGCCCCUGGCUUGGUGUUGGACGGUCUGGCGGAGGCCUCCCUCGGGGGCCCUCCGCCCCUCCCAAAGACAAUGACGGCGGCCACGUUGGACCCCCGGUACACUGAGUUCUUUACGGGACACGUACUGGAGUAAGGGUGCGCGGGGCACGGUCUGCCUCCCCUCAGGGAGAAUCUCUUUAAACAAGGUUGACCUCGGAUCAGGUAGGGAUACCCGCUGAACUUAA